AAUAUUGGACAAUGGGGGCAACCCUGAUCCAGCCAUGCCGCGUGUGUGAAGAAGGUCUUCGGAUUGUAAAGCACUCUAAGUUGGGAGGAAGGGCUUUAGGUUAAUACCCUGACGUCUUGACGUUCCCAACAGAUUAAGCACCGGCUAAUCCUGUGCCAGCAGCCGCGGUAAUAACGAGGGUCCAAGCUUUAAUCGGAAUUACUGGGCGUAAAGCGCGCGUAGGUGGUUCAGUAAGAUGGGUGUGAAAUCCCCGGGCUUAACCUGGGAACUGCUUUCAUAACUGCUGAGCUAGAGUAAGGUAGAGGGUAGUGGAAUUUCCUGUGUAGCGGUGAAAUGCGUAGAUAUAGGAAGGAACACCAGUGGCGAAGGCGACUACCUGGACUGAUACUGACACUGAGGUGCGAAAGCGUGGGGAGCAAACAG
rnacentral:rRNA from 1 species